rnacentral:lncRNA from 1 species
AAAAAAGCCACAUGUAGGAAGAGGAUUUACUGAUUGCUAAACUAAUUUGUCGUCUUAAGCUGUUCUAAUGUUUUCGGAUUGACCUGUCUGGUGCGAUCAGUAGCUGCAAUCAGCAAUGGAGGUGUCAACACAACCGAGGGGUGUGAUUACUGUAUUUAAAUCAUAAAGGAAGUUCAAAUUAUUGUUAUAUGCCCUAGGCAUCAGAGCAAAAACAUAUUCUACCUAAAAAUACAUUCCUGCUGCAUUGGAGAAUCAUCUUUGUCAAACAUGAAGACAAUAAUCUUACUCGCAUGUGUUGUCGGCCUGACUUUCCAGGCUGAAGUUCAUCAGCGUCUGGCUCGCUCUUUGUCCGACUCGGAUUCUGAUGAGAUUGGAGCUUUCGCCCCCUUUUGGCCUCAGUUGACUUAUGAGCAGUUAAUUCAGCUGCUGACCCUUAUCUCUGGAAGUGUCGUGACCCAAGUCCCUCCCACAAUGCCAACUUCAACCUCUGAUCCGACCAUUGACACCCCGAUGCCAACCCUCAGACCAUUAACAACUCGUUAGCAAUGUUGGUCAACAUUUGAAACAAAAAAUGACAAAAAAAUUACUAGACAAAGACAAAACAAAUAAAAUAAUGUGUGCAAUAAAUAAAUUGUCCAUUUGUUAUUGAAAAUCAUUGUACUUCAGGUGUUUGUUACCAAUAAAACAAGGUUGAUUUCAUAAA